GUCUACGGCCAUUCCACCCUGAACACACCCAAUCUUGUCUGAUCUCGGAAGCUAAGCAGGGUUGGGCCUGGUUAGUACUUGGACGGGAGAAAAGAUGUUUCUAAUCCGUCUUUAGCACUGCUUGUAGGUGCAUUUU
rnacentral:rRNA from 1 species